GAUGAACGCUAGCUACAGGCUUAACACAUGCAAGUCGAGGGGUAUCGAGAGGAAAGCUUGCUUUCCUUGUCGACGACCGGCGCACGGGUGAGUAACGCGUAUCCAACCUGCCCCCAACUAGGGAAUAACCUUGCGAAAGUAAGACUAAUACCCUAUAAUUUCCUCAGAUGUCAUCUGACGAGGAAUAAAGAUUUACCGGUUGUGGAUGGGGAUGCGUCUGCUUAGCUUGUUGGCGAGGUAACGGCCCACCAAGGCAACGAUCAGUAGGGGUUCUGAGAGGAAGGUCCCCCACAUUGGAACUGAGACGCGGUCCAAACUCCUACUGGAGGCAGCAGUGAGGAAUAUUGGUCAAUGUGCGGAAGCCUUAACCAGCCAAGUAGCGUGCAGGAUGACGGCCCUAUGGGUUGUAAACUGCUUUUAUACAGGAAUAAAGUUAGCCACGUGUGGUUAUUUGUAGGUACUGUAUGAAUAAGGACCGGCUAAUUCCGUGCCAGCAGCCGCAGUAA
rnacentral:rRNA from 1 species